CACCGCACAAGGAAACGAGGCGGUGCUGAACAUGCAGAAGUCAGCAGAGGUCAUAUUAGCCGAGAGGUGAAGGAC
rfam:Lachnospiraceae bacterium 3_1_57FAA_CT1 genomic scaffold acsNT-supercont1.1, whole genome shotgun sequence.